UAAUACGGAGGGUGCAAGCGUUAAUCGGAAUUACUGGGCGUAAAGCGCAUGCAGGUGGUUUGUUAAGUCAGAUGUGAAAGCCCUGGGCUCAACCUAGGAAUCGCAUUUGAAACUGACAAGCUAGAGUACUGUAGAGGGGGGUAGAAUUUCAGGUGUAGCGGUGAAAUGCGUAGAGAUCUGAAGGAAUACCGGUGGCGAAGGCGGCCCCCUGGACAGAUACUGACACUCAGAUGCGAAAGCGUGGGGAGCAAACAGG
rnacentral:rRNA from 1 species